AUUUGUCACAAACAAACGAAAGUGCUACAGUUCCGAAAAGUUUUCACUUUUCGGAACUAAACAAGGCCUCAGUACGACCGGGGGAGAGCUCGAGGAGUAGGGUUGGUUGGAGAGGCGUAGGGGCGCGUGCGAAGGGCGCUCGAGUUGUUGUUCUUCCUGGGCUUCGCCGGCUCCGUUUUCUUCCACCUUUGUGUGGGCGUCAAGUCAAGACAGCAGCGUCGUCGCCGUUUCAUCUCCGCGGUCAGGUUUGGUGGCACUGGUCCUGUAGCAGUUCAGGGGCGAGAGGGAGAUGGACAUGGACUUGGCUGGUCGCUGUGCCGCUCGGAACUGGGGCGAGGGCGAGGUGUUCGUGGGUAAGGGUCGCGGGCGUUGUGCGGCUGGGAGGCGGCUACCGAGGCGACGGAAUUAAAGCGGUAGUAGACGAGAGCGCCCCGAUUUAUAAAGCGGCUUUGUGUGGCUCGCUGCUCGCCUCUGCUCCACUCCUCUCACCUGGUCACUGCUCCUCCGACCUCGCGUUCCUUCGGCGGGGCUCAGGCGGUGGCUGCUCGCUCGCUGCUGGUUCAGAUCCUUAUCCCCUUCGCUGCAUCGAGGCCGUUCGGAGCUUGGAGUUUGGAGCUGUCCUUUCUGCUUUACAAUACAACCACAAGAUGGGGCUGGCGGAGCAGCGCGUGGAGGUGCGGGGCGCGGCGAAUCGCAGGUGAUCCCGGUCAUGGGGUAGAGUGGAGGCGGUGGUGUGUGUGUGGGGUAUGGAGCCGUCCCGUGGCGCUGCUGGCGGCGGGCGGCGGUGGGGGGACGCGGAGGCGGAGGCGGAGGGCGAUGCGGCGGAUGAAGGGAGACGAGGGGAGGACGGGGGCGAGGUGAGCCUGCGGGAGUGGCUGGACCGGCCGGGCCGCGCGGUGGAGGCGGCGGAGUGCGUGCACGUGUUCAGGCAGGUGGCGGAGGCUGUGGCCGUCGCGCACGCGCAGGGGGUGGCCGUGGGCAGCGCGCGGCCGUCGUGCUUCGUCGUGUCGCCGCCCUUCGCGCGCGUCGCCUUCAUCGAGUCCGCCUCCGGCUCCGACGCCUCCGGUUCGUGCUCGGGCUCUGACGCCUCCGAGGACGCCGACCGGGACGCCUCGCCUCCGCGGCGACGCGACGGCGCAGGCCGCGGUGAGGAGCGCGCCGGGAAGUCGUUCCCGCUCAAGAGCGUGCUGGCCAUGGAGCUCAACUGGUACACCAGCCCCGAGGAGGCGGACGACAGCGCCGCUACCUUCGCCUCUGACGUUUACAGACUGGGUGUGCUCUUGUUCGAGCUGUUCUGUACAUUCGAAACCAUGGAAGACAAGAUGCGGGCAAUGGCGAAUCUGCGGCACCGGGUGUUGCCACCACAGUUGCUGCUCAAAUGGCCCAAGGAAGCAUCCUUCUGCCAGUUGCUAAUGCACCCUGUGCCAGAAACCAGACCGAAGAUGAGUGAGGUGUUGCAGAGUGAGUUCCUUAAUCAGUCAAGGAAUAGCCUGGAAGAGCGUGAAGCAGCACUUAGGUUACGCGAAGAGAUUGAAGAACAAGAAUUAUUGCUGGAUUUUCUUCAGCAGUUGCAGAAAAGAAAGCAGGAUAUAGCAGACAGUUUGCAGGACACUGUUGCUUUCCUUUCUUCUGACAUCAAUGAGGUACUCCACCAGCAAUCUGCACUUGGCCACUGUGUGAACUUCUCAACUGAUUUGGACAAAGAGGUGUGCUCUGGAACUGUUGAAGAUCAGAGUGAUUGCGGAUCCAGGAAGCGAUUCAGACCUGAGCUGCAAGGUGUUGACAUGGAGGAAAAUAAUCGUACUGUGGAAGAAUGUUCAAGAACAGUUCCAUCCUCUGAGUUAAUCCAGGAAAGUGUUCUGUCAAAAAGCUCCAGGUUGAUGAAGAACUUCAAAAAACUUGAAACAGCUUAUUUUCUAACAAGGUCCAAGUUGGCGAAGCAAGCUGGCAACCAAAUAAGUAAUCAUCAAAUUGUUAAGAGGGCUACUGGUUCAGCUAUUGGGACUGAGGGAAGUUCAAUAGAUGAUUUUUCUUUGGAAAGGCAAUAUGGUAGAAGGCAAAGAGGCUGGGUGAACUCUUUUCUUGAGGGGUUGUGCAAGUACUUGUCAUUCAGUAAGUUGAAAGUUCGGGCAGAACUGAAGCAUUGUGAUUUGCUGAACUCAUCAAACUUAGUAUGCUCCGUAGGGUUUGACCGGGAUAGAGAGUUUUUUGCAACUGCUGGUGUAAAUAAGAAGAUAAAAGUGUUUGAUUAUAAUAUGAUUGUAAAUGAACACCGUGAUAUUCACUAUCCCGUGGUAGAGAUGUCUAAUAGAUCAAAACUGAGCUGUAUUUGUUGGAACAGUUAUAUGAAGAGCCAUAUAGCAUCUAGUGAUUUUGAGGGUAUAGUACAGGUUUGGGAUGUUACUAGGAGUCAGGUUUUUGUUGAGAUGAGGGAGCAUGAGCGACGUGUGUGGUCGGUGGACUUCUCAAUUGUGGACCCAACAAAAUUGGUCAGUGGGAGUGAUGAUGGAUCUGUGAAGCUGUGGGAUAUGAAUCAGGCAAUUUUAUUCUUGCACCUACUGCUGGGAGUAUUGGUACUAUUAGGACAAGGGCAAACGUGUGUUCUGUGCAAUUUCAACCUGAUACUUCUCGCUCCAUUGCCAUCGGCUCUGCAGACCACAAAAUUUACUGCUAUGAUCUUCGUAACAUACGAGCUCCUUAUUGUACACUAGUUGGGCACACAAAGACUGUAAGCUAUGUUAAGUAUUUGGAUGCAUCAACAAUAGUAUCUGCGUCUACUGACAACUCAUUGAAGCUUUGGGACCUGUCGAUGAGUCGAGGAAGGAUAAUUGACAGUCCAAUUCAAACAUUUACGGGGCACACAAACACAAAGAACUUUGUUGGCCUUUCCAUAUCUGAUGGUUACAUCGCUACUGGCUCUGAAACAAAUGAGGUUUUUGUCUACCACAAAGAAUUUCCCAUGCCAGUGUUGGCAUAUAAGUUCAGCGUGACAGACCCUAUCUCAGGCCAGGAGAUUGAUGAUCAGUCACAGUUCAUUUCCUGCGUAUGCUGGAGAGGGCAGUCUUCAACGCUUCUUUCUGCAAACUCCAGCGGCAACAUUAAGAUUUUAGAAAUGGACUGAGGAUUGGAGUUUGCAUCUGCUGAGUCUCGGCUAUAAAUGGACUGACUUCUUACCAAGGUUGUGCACGUGUGUGGCUUCAAAGAUUGUGGCAACUAAAUUCAGAGUUGCCAACGGUGCGAGGUGCAGCUUAAUCCGAGUUGCAGAGUUGGGAGAGGUAGGAGUAGCUGGGAUAACAGAUUUAGUGUGGUUUGAUAGGAUUACAGAUUAGCGUGGUAGCAAAAGUAGCAUAAAUAGGAAACAGAAUUGAGGCGUGGGAUAGUCCCACAAGGAAAGGUUUUGUACAUCAUUGGUUCGAGGUAUACUUGUACAGGCAAUCAAUCCAGUUUUUACCUAGCAGCAUCAGGCUUUUGCUCUUGCGGCAGUGGUACUUGAAAGGCAAAAAGUAUGAAGCGGUCUACAUCUGUUGAAUCAAAGAUCAGCAUUUGGCUCAAGCUCUCUCUCUCUUUUAUUCCCAAUAUAAUAUUGAUAAAUGUGUUGGCCUUCCAGGCAUGCGGUGCCAGGCUUCGAUCAGGUAGUAUGGUUUUCUACGCAUCCUAGGACUUCUCGGCGUUCGUCUGCAGACGUGAGGGAGGAGCUGUGCAAGAGGAUACAAUAAUUGUCAUGAGCUUGCGAUAUACUUUCUUUCUCGAACGAGAACUUGUGAUAUACCCUGAUAUAUCCCUCCGUGCUGAAUUGUAAGAUGAUUUAACUUUUUUUAGAUAUAUACAAAUUUGUUAUGGCCUAUA